rnacentral:tRNA from 1 species
GGCCCUAUCGUCUAGAGGCCUAGGACGUAGCCCUCUCAAGGCUAAAACGGGGGUUCGAAUCUCCCUAGGGUCA